ACGCUCGACACCUACGGGAGGCAGCAGUGGGGAAUAUUGCACAAUGGGGGAAACCCUGAUGCAGCGACGCCGCGUGAGGGAAGAAGGUUUUCGGAUUGUAAACCUCUGUCCUUGGUGAAGAAGGAAGACGGUAGCCAAGGAGGAAGCCACGGCUAACUACGUGCCGGCAGCCGUGGUAAUCUGAGGCGGGCUGGCAAGGC
rnacentral:rRNA from 1 species